CAAUAGCGUAUAUUAAAGUUGUUGCGGUUAAAAAGCUCGUAGUUGGAUUUCUGCCGAGGACGACCCGGUCCGCCUAUUUGGGUGUGUAUCUGGUUUGACCGAGGCAUACUUUUGGAAUUCGUUGCUGCACUUAACUGUGUGGCUCGGAAACCAAAACCUUUACUUUGAGGAAAUUAGAGUGUUCAAAGCAGGCCAACGCCUUGAAUACAUUAGCAUGGAAUAAUGGAAUAGGACUUUGGUCUUAUUUUGUUGGUUUCUAAGGCCGAGGUAAUGAUUAAUAGGGAUAGUUGGGGGCGUUUAUAUUCCGUUGUCAGAGGUGAAAUUCUUGGAUUUACGGAAGAUAAACUACUGCGAAAGCAUUCGCCAAGGAUGUUUUUCAUUAAUCAAGAACGAAAGUUAGGGGAUCGAAGACGAUUAGAUACCAU
rnacentral:rRNA from 1 species